GCGAGUGAAGAGGGAAGAGCCCAAGAUUGAAAGCUGGCGUCUUCGGCGUCCGCAUUGUAAUCUCAAGAAGUGUUUUCCGCUUCGGACCAUGCCUAAGUCCCUUGGAAAAGGGCAUCAUAGAGGGUGAUAAUCCCGUACAUGGCAUGGAGCGCCCGAAGCUUUGUGAUACGCUUUCUAAGAGUCGAGUUGUUUGGGAAUGCAGCUCAAAAUGGGUGGUAAAUGCCAUCUAAGGCUAAAUAUUGGGGAGAGACCGAUAGCGAACAAGUACAGUGAUGGAAAGAUGAAAAGAACUUUGAAAAGAGAGUUAAACAGUACGUGAAAUUGCCAAAAGGGAAGGGUAGGAGGUCAGAGAUGCGGCCUGGGAUUCAGCCUUGCUUUUGCUUGGUGUUUUUCCCAGAUUGCAGGCCAACGUCGGUUUUGGGCACUGGAGAAGGGUAGGAGGAACGUGGCACCUCUCGGGGUGUGUUAUAGCCUCCUACUGGAUACAGCGACCGAGACCGAGGACAGCAGCGUACUCGCAAGAGCGGGCCUUCGGGCACCUUUACGCUUAGGGCGUUGG
rnacentral:rRNA from 1 species